rnacentral:rRNA from 1 species
CCUACGGGAGGCUGCAGUGGGGAAUAUUGCACAAUGGGGGAAACCCUGAUGCAGCGACGCCGCGUGAGUGAAGAAGUAUUUCGGUACGUAAAGCCCUAUCAGCAGGGAAGAAAAUGACGGUACCUGACUAAGAAGCCCCGGCUAACUACGUGCCAGCAGCCGCGGUAAUACGUAGGGGGCAAGCGUUAUCCGGAUUUACUGGGUGUAAAGGGAGCGUAGACGGCAGCGCAAGUCUGGAGGGAAAUCCCAUGGCUUAACCAUGGAACUGCUUUGGAAACUGUGCAGCUAGAGUGCAGGAGAGGUAAGCGGAAUUCCUAGUGUAGCGGUGAAAUGCGUAGAUAUUAGGAGGAACACCAGUGGCGAAGGCGGCUUACUGGACUGUAACUGACGUUGAGGCUCGAAAGCGUGGGGAGCAAACAGGAUUAGAUACCCGGGUAGUC